GCCGACGUAGCUCAAUUGGCAGAGCAGCGGUUUUGUAAACCGCAGGUUGCGGGUUCGAAUCCCAUCGUCGGCU
rnacentral:tRNA from 1 species